rnacentral:rRNA from 1 species
GACGAACGCUGGCGGCGUGCCUAAUACAUGCAAGUAGGACGAGUUGCGAACGGGUGAGUAACGCGUGGUAACCUACCUAUUAGAGGGGGAUAACUAUUGGACACGAUAGCUAAUACCGCAUACCCUCGGAUGUGCCCAGCUGGGAUUAGCUAGUAGGUGGGGUAACGGCGCACCUAGGCGACGAUCCCUAGCUGGUCUGCGAGGAGGAACAGACACACUGGAACUUGGACACGGUCCAGACUCCUACGGGAGGCAGCAGUGGGGAAUAUUGCACAAUGGGCGCAAGCCUGAUGCAGCCAUGCCGCGUGUAUGAAGAAGGCCUUCGGGUUGUAAAGUACUUGCAGCGAGGAGGCGUUACUCGCAGAAGAAGCACCGGCUAACUCCGUGCCAGCAGCCGCGGUAAUUC